GCUGGGCAUGGUGGUGCAUGCCUGUGGUCCCAGCUACUUGGGAGGCUGAGGUGGGAGGAUAACUUGAGCCUGGGAGUUCAAGGCUGCAGUGAGCCAUGAUCAUGCCACUGCAUUCCAGCCUGGGUGACAAAGUGAGACCCUGUCUUUU
rnacentral:SRP_RNA from 1 species